AAAAAAAAAAAAAAAAAAAUUGGGAUGGGAUGAAAAGAAAGGUAUGCAGACAUAAACAACAAUAAGCAAAGGGAAAAUAUAAGGAGAACGAAAGAAAACAACGCAAAAGAGAUAACCAAACAGAUGGCUAUCAAAUUAAUGAAUGAAUCAAACGCAAAAUAAUCAAGUAAACACCACAACAAAAUCUAGGUGAUUCAUCUUCAUUUAAAAAGGUCGGAGAAGAGACCUAAAGAAUACAAGCACACUUAAAUUCUUCUCAAGAGCUCACAAAUAAGAAACGGAGCAUAGAAAACAAAUGUUAAGCAAAACAAAAUCGGUUGAGAAUUAAGGAAAUAAAAAGUUUUCAAAUAUGUAUCUUUGCCAAAGUAAAUUUGAACAGUUAUAAAGUUUUUGUACAAAAGCUCGAAUUCCAAGGAAAAGUUUAAGUUACCAUUAAAAAAUGUGGUAAUAUUUAUCAUAAUGUUCGGAGACAUUGAUUGGUGUAAUUUCCGUACUUUGGGAUUCAAGAGUUUCUGGUAUACUAAUUUGAGAAUCUUGGGUAAUAGAUUCUGUUAAAGGCAGCUCCUCCUCAUUCAAUCUAGCUCUUAAAGAAACACCACGGCUACGAGUAUAAGAUCGGGACAAAUUUUUCUUGAGUUGCUGAACUUGUUGCUGAUCAUGCACUUCUUUGGCUGUAUCCACAUUAUCAAUAUCAACAAAAUCAACGUUUUCUAAUGGUUCUUCCUCACCACGUAAGUGCUUCUCAGAAGCAUCAUCAGAGUCAGUAGCAAAAUCAAACUUGUUAUGUGUUUCCGUACGUCCGCUGUAAAACAAGGGAAGAAGUGCACGAGCAUCAGAUCGAACCAUCGGCACGAGCAAUGGGGCAUAGGUGGAUGGAUGACCAAAGCACAUUUCACUUUCACUAAUCUCAUUUUCCAAGGGCUCCACAACCUUCAUGUAUGGAUCCUCAAUCAUGUAAUGAGAUUUUGGAUCAAGAGCAAACAUGCACCAUAUCUUAAAGGCAAUGGCAAAGGAAAAGUUUGGAAUUAUGCAAUAAGCGCGAACACGACCUCCCUGUACCCACAAGCAUAAAAACAGAAUUAUGUUUGCUAAUUCUAAUCCCAGUAAAAUACGAUUCACCACUGGGCGCCAAUACCCACCACCACUUUCGGUUGAGGAAUUUGAUACGUACAUCAAAAUAUAUUUUUGUGUUAAGUAAUUGACGCAAAACAAUACACUUGCAAACAAAAGGACCAAAGGGUUUAUGCAAGCGUAACAAAUAGCAAUAGUAAAAAAGUAUAUUAACUUGUUGAGAACUUGACUGUAAA